UACGUAGGGUGCGAGCGUUGUCCGGAAUUAUUGGGCGUAAAGAGCUCGUAGGCGGCUCGGUAAGUCAGGUGUCAAAUCCUCAGGCUCAACCUGGGGCUCCACCUGAUACUGCUGUGGCUAGAGUCCGGUAGGGGAGCGUGGAAUUCCUGGUGUAGCGGUGAAAUGCGCAGAUAUCAGGAGGAACACCAGCGGCGAAGGCGGCGCUCUGGGCCGGAACUGACGCUGAGGAGCGAAAGCGUGGGUAGCAAACAGG
rnacentral:rRNA from 1 species